rnacentral:lncRNA from 1 species
UUCUGUGAGGUACAAAAAUUAAUAGCAUGUUAGAGUUCUGAUGGCAGUUGUUGAUUUUGAAUAAGUUUCAUUCCAUCCUAAUACCUUAAAAUAACUAAUUUGCUUUGCUUUCCAGGUAUUCCUCAUGACAAUCUGCCUCUAUCUUACAGACCAGCUUGUUGCCAUAUACCAUUGAAAAACCUUCAGAGCUGAGAGGUGUUAGUAACCAAUAACCUCUUUGGCUCUAAGGGCCAGCACCUUCUCUCUAGCACUCAAGAGUUUGGGGUAAGUGGCUUUGCAAUAGCUGCCAUCAAUGGCUGCUAUAUACAAUUUUCUGUGAUUUUUGUGUGUGAUAGCACUGUGGUCUGGGUGGAUGUGUACAGAUAGAACUGGCUUAACCCAAAUCUUUGAUCUCCUGGACCACCAAGUGAUGAUCACCUGCUCACCAGUGAUGAGUUGAAUACCGCCCCAGUCUGAUCAAUGUGACUGAAAGGUAUUUUCUGAGCUGUGAGCCUGCCUUCCAGUGACAACUUCUAAAAAUUACAAGUUAUUUGAGGAGGCAUUACAGCCAAUAGGAAGUUCUUGGGCUAAGUAGUGUUUCCUCUAAAAUGUGCCCUGAAACUUCUGUCUGCCAAGCAACAGAUAUAGUUGAGAGAUUGUAAAAUGUACUGUAGAAUGAAAGUCUCUCAAGACUACAUUUUUUUUUCUUGAUUUUGCAGGAAAACUAGGUGUUACUCCAGACUGCAGUUACAGGUGAGUAA